CCUACGGGCGGCAGCAGUGGGGAAUAUUGGACAAUGGGGGGAACCCUGAUCCAGCCAUGCCGCGUGUGUGAAGAAGGCCCUCGGGUUGUAAAGCACUUUCAGUGAGGAAGAACGCCUGGUGGUUAAUACCCAUCAGGAAAGACAUCACUCACAGAAGAAGCACCGGCUAACUCCGUGCCAGCAGCCGCGGUAAUACGGAGGGUGCGAGCGUUAAUCGGAAUUACUGGGCGUAAAGCGCGCGUAGGUGGCUUGAUAAGCCGGUUGUGAAAGCCCCGGGCUCAACCUGGGAACGGCAUCCGGAACUGUCAAGCUAGAGUGCAGGAGAGGAAGGUAGAAUUCCCGGUGUAGCGGUGAAAUGCGUAGAGAUCGGGAGGAAUACCAGUGGCGAAGGCGGCCUUCUGGACUGACACUGACACUGAGGUGCGAAAGCGUGGGUAGCAAACAGGAUUAGAUACCUUGUAGUC
rnacentral:rRNA from 1 species